rnacentral:rRNA from 1 species
UACGUAGGGGGCAAGCGUUAUCCGGAUUUACUGGGUGUAAAGGGAGCGUAGACGGCAAUACAAGUCUGAAGUGAAAUACCCGGGCUUAACCUGGGAACUGCUUUGGAAACUGUAUGGCUGGAGUGCUGGAGAGGUAAGCGGAAUUCCUAGUGUAGCGGUGAAAUGCGUAGAUAUUAGGAGGAACACCAGUGGCGAAGGCGGCUUACUGGACAGUAACUGACGUUGAGGCUCGAAAGCGUGGGGAGCAAACAGG